UUGGAGGGCAAGUCUGGUGCCAGCAGCCGCGGUAAUUCCAGCUCCAAUAGCGUAUAUUAAAGUUGUUGCAGUUAAAAAGCUCGUAGUUGAAUUUCGAGAUCAAAUUGUUGGUCGUGCCUCGGUACGCACUGGCAUUAUUGAUUUCUCCCUUCUGACGAUCCGCGAUGUCAUUAAUUUGGUGUCGCGGGGAAUCAGGACUGUUACUUUGAAAAAAUUAGAGUGUUUAAAGCAAGCUGACGCUUGAAUACAUUAGCAUGGAAUAAUGAAAUAGGACGUUUGAUUCUAUUUUGUUGGUUUCUAGGAUCGACGUAAUGAUUAAUAGGGAUAGUUGGGGGCAUUAGUAUUCAAUUGUCAGAGGUGAAAUUCUUGGAUUUAUUGAAGACUAACUACUGCGAAAGCAUUUGCCAAGGAUGUUUUCAUUAAUCAAGAACGAAAGUUAGGGGAUCGAAGACGAUCAGAUACCGUCGUAGUCUUAACCAUAAACUAUGCCGACUAGGGAUCGGAUGAUGUUAAUUUUUUAAUGACUCAUUCGGCGCCUUACGGGAAAC
rnacentral:rRNA from 1 species